CGGCGUGCCUAACACAUGCAAGUCGUACGAGAAAGUUGGCUUCGGCCGAUGAGUAAAGUGGCGCACGGGUGAGUAAUGCGUGGAUAAUCUGCCCUUUAGUUGGGAAUAACGUACCGAAAGGUGCGCUAAUACCUGAUAAUACUGCAUAACUACUGUUGUGUAGUCAAAGAAGGCCUCUGUUUGCAAGCUUUUGCUGAAGGAUGAGUCCGCGUACCAUUAGCUGGUUGGUGGGGUAAUGGCCUACCAAGGCUACGAUGGUUAGCUGGUCUGAGAGGAUGAUCAGCCACACUGGAACUGAGACACGGUCCAGACUCCUACGGGAGGCAGCAGUGAGGAAUAUUGCGCAAUGGGGGCAACCCUGACGCAGCAACGCCGCGUGAGUGAGGAAGGUUUUCGGACCGUAAAGCUCUGUCGAGCGGGAAGAAAUGUAUCAUGGCUAAUAUCCAUGAUACUUGACGGUACCGCUAAAGGAAGCACCGGCUAACUCCGUG
rnacentral:rRNA from 1 species